rnacentral:lncRNA from 1 species
UUUUCUUUUUCACAUGCUAUUUCAAUUCCAUUACAAAAGUAGAAAUCAUCAAAAUGAGAAGCCUUUCGUUGAGAAUAAGAAAAGGAUUCUUCAUACAAAUGGCAAUCUUCUCUUUGUGAUAGAUCUUCUGUAGUCGAGUACUUUGACACUCUUGAAACACGUGCACCUCUUCGUAAAUAAUCCUUUGUAGAUGAAUAAAUUGAGGCACUUGUAGAGACACGUUUACUUUUUCGUUUAUCAUCUCGGAAGGACUCAAACUCGGAGUUUGCUUCUCUUGGUCUCGAACGCCUUGUUGAAUAGAAGUCUUGAUAAGAGUCUCUUGUCGAGUAGUGUCGUCGUGACGAUCUUUUCUUCGUCUCUUGACUUGAAGAAAUUUGCUCCCGUU